UACAGAGGGGGCAAGCGUUGUUCGGAAUUACUGGGCGUAAAGGGCGCGUAGGCGGCCUUCUAAGUCGAACGUGAAAUCCCCGGGCUCAACCCGGGAACUGCGUCCGAUACUGGAAGGCUUGAAUCCGGGAGAGGGAUGCGGAAUUCCAGGUGUAGCGGUGAAAUGCGUAGAUAUCUGGAGGAACACCGGUGGCGAAGGCGGCAUCCUGGACCGGUAUUGACGCUGAGGCGCGAAAGCAUGGGGAGCGAACAGG
rnacentral:rRNA from 1 species